rnacentral:rRNA from 1 species
AGAGUUUGAUCCUGGCUCAGGACGAACGCUGGCGGCGUGCCUAACACAUGCAAGUCAGGGAGAAAGGGGUAGCAAUAUCCCGAGUAAACCGGCGCACGGGUGAGUAACGCGUAGGUAAUUUGCCUUGGAGACUGGGAUAACCUUGCGAAAGCGAGGCUAAUACCAGAUAGGCAAUUCUGAGGCAUCUCGGAAUUGUUAAAGGGUUGGCAACAAUCCGCUCCAAGAUAAGCCUGCGUCCGAUUAGCUAGUUGGUAGGGUAAUGGCCUACCAAGGCUACGAUCGGUAGCUGGUCUGAGAGGAUGAUCAGCCACACUGGGACUGAGACACGGCCCAGACUCCUACGGGAGGCAGCAGUGAGGAAUAUUGGGCAAUGCCCGAAAGGGUGACCCAGCAACGCCGCGUGGAGGAUGAAGUCCUUAUGGAUGUAAACUCCUUUUAGAGGGGACGAAAAGCCCGAUUUGUCGGGAAUUGACGGUACCCUCAGAAAAAGCACCGGCUAACUACGUGCCAGCCGCCGCGGUAAUAC